UACGUAGGGUGCGAGCGUUAAUCGGAAUUACUGGGCGUAAAGCGUGCGCAGGCGGUUUUGUAAGCCGGAUGUGAAAUCCCCGGGCUUAACCUGGGAAUGGCAUUCGGGACUGCAAGGCUGGAGUGCGGCAGAGGAGACUGGAAUUCCUGGUGUAGCAGUGAAAUGCGUAGAUAUCGGGAGGAACACCAGUGGCGAAGGCGGUUGCCUGGGGCUUUGCUGACGCUGAUGCGCGAAAGCGUGGGGAGCGAUCCGG
rnacentral:rRNA from 1 species